UACGGAGGAUGCAAGCGUUAUCCGGAAUGAUUGGGCGUAAAGCGUCCGCAGGUGGCUGUGUAAGUCUGCUAUUAAAGAGUGAGGCUCAACCUCAUAAAAGCAGUGGAAACUACACGGCUAGAGUGCGUUCGGGGCAGAGGGAAUUCCUGGUGUAGCGGUGAAAUGCGUAGAUAUCAGGAAGAACACCGGUGGCGAAAGCGCUCUGCUAGGCCGCAACUGACACUGAGGGACGAAAGCUAGGGGAGCGAAUGGG
rnacentral:rRNA from 1 species